rnacentral:rRNA from 1 species
GCUUGAAUACAUUAGCAUGGAUAAUGAAAUAGGACGUUCGAUCCUAUUUUGUUGGUUUCUUAGGAUUGACGUAAUGAUUAAUAGGGAUAUUGGGGGCGAUUAGUAUUCAAUUGUCAGAGGUGAAAUUCUUUGGAUUUAUUGAAGACUAACUACUGCGAAAGCAUUUGCCAAGGAUGUUUUCAUUAAUCAAGAACGAAAGUUAGGGGAUCGAAGACGAUCAGAUACCGUCGUAGUCUUAACCAUAAACUAUGCCGACUAGGGAUCGGAUGAUGUUAAUUUUUUAAUGACUCAUUCGGCGCCUUACG